rnacentral:lncRNA from 1 species
AGUCCCCGUGUUAUAACUUUAUACGUAUAUAAAUUAUUACAUAUACAAAUACAACAAACCUUUUGUUGUUAUAUGUGCAUAUGCACAUAUCUAUCUAUCUACCUAUCUAGCUAUCUAUCUAGCUAUUUAUCUACCUAUUUACCUAGCCAUCUAUCUAGCUAUUUACCUAGCUCUCUAUUUAGCUAUCUACCUAUCUACCUAUACACCUAUCUAUUAUUUAGGUUUUUUGUAAUUAACGCAAAAAAUUUUAAGUUGGCCACAUUGCAUUUUGUUAGAAUAUAUAAAUUCAUAAUAUACAUUAGGUGUUUACUAGAAUGGCUUCCUCAAAUUAACCCACACCUGGUCCCAUUUGUUUACGUUUUCACCUACACAAAUAGUUAUGUUCAGUUUUUUCAUAAAUAUAUUCCCAGCAUCUAUGGUAUAGAUUUGAGUGGAGUGUUUUCUUGGCUGUUUUUAGAAAUGCUAGAGAAUGUUUUAUCGUAAAAAUUAUUACUUUUAAAAUAUAUUUUAUUUUAAAAAAAAAAGAAAAAAAAAGUAGCACUUACCAAUUUUCUUAAAUAUUUUUAUAUUUGUUUUACCUACAUGUGUGUAAUAAAAAGCAACUGUAAUUUUUAGUUUGCCA